rnacentral:rRNA from 1 species
UACGAAGGGGGCUAGCGUUGCUCGGAAUUACUGGGCGUAAAGCGCACGUAGGCGGCUUCUUAAGUCGGUGGUGAAAUCCUGGAGCUCAACUCCAGAACUGCCUUCGAUACUGGGAAGCUCGAGUCCGGGAGAGGUGAGUGGGAACUGCGAGUGUAGAGGUGAAAUUCGUAGAUAUUCGCAAGAACACCAGUGGCGAAGGCGGCUCACUGGCCCGGUACUGACGCUGAGGUGCGAAAGCGUGGGGAGCAAACAGGG